rnacentral:rRNA from 1 species
UACGAGUGCCUCGAGCGUUAUCCGGAAUCAUUGGGCGUAAAGGGUGUGUAGGUGGUCGUGUUAGUCUCGUGUGAAAUUCUUCGGCUUAACCGGGGGUCCGCGCGGGAAACGGCACGACUUGACGAUGCGAGGGGUCUGCGGAACUCAUAGUGUAGCGGUGAAAUGCGUUGAUAUUAUGGGGGAACACCAAAAGCGAAGGCAGCAGACUGGAGCACUCGUGACACUGAAACACGAAAGCGUGGGUAGCGAAUGGG